UACGUAGGGUGCGAGCGUUAAUCGGAAUUACUGGGCGUAAAGCGUGCGCAGGCGGUUGUUUAAGACAGAUGUGAAAUCCCCGGGCUUAACCUGGGAACUGCAUUUGUGACUGCACGGCUGGAGUGCGGCAGAGGGGGAUGGAAUUCCGCGUGUAGCAGUGAAAUGCGUAGAUAUGCGGAGGAACACCGAUGGCGAAGGCAAUCCCCUGGGCCUGCACUGACGCUCAUGCACGAAAGCGUGGGGAGCAAACAGG
rnacentral:rRNA from 1 species